GACGAACGCUGGCGGCGUGCCUAAUACAUGCAAGUCGAGCGCAGGAAAUCGACGGAACCCUUCGGGGGGAAGUCGAUGGAAUGAGCGGCGGACGGGUGAGUAACACGUAAAGAACCUGCCCUCAGGUCUGGGAUAACCACGAGAAAUCGGGGCUAAUACCGGAUGGGUCAUCGGACCGCAUGGUCCGAGGAUGAAAGGCGCUUCGGCGUCGCCUGGGGAUGGCUUUGCGGUGCAUUAGCUAGUUGGUGGGGUAAUGGCCCACCAAGGCGACGAUGCAUAGCCGACCUGAGAGGGUGAUCGGCCACACUGGGACUGAGACACGGCCCAGACUCCUACGGGAGGCAGCAGUAGGGAAUCUUCCACAAUGGACGAAAGUCUGAUGGAGCAACGCCGCGUGAACGAUGAAGGCCUUCGGGUCGUAAAGUUCUGUUGUAAGGGAAGAACAAGCGCCGCAGGCAAUGGCGGCACCUUGACGGUACCUUGCGAGAAAGCCACGGCUAACUACGUGCCAGCCGCCGCAGUAAUAC
rnacentral:rRNA from 1 species